rnacentral:lncRNA from 1 species
UCACUCUCUCCUGCUGUGGCUGCUAGGGGGGAUGGGGCUGAGGUUUCCAGGUUAAUGGAGUUAUGCACCUAGAAGGAAGCUGCCUCUGCUGAGUCAUGCAGGUUGUCGUGGAAGUGAGAGAACGCUGGCAGUCACAGGCCUGACCCAGCUCCCAUGCAAUCCAAAGGGCUGGUCUCACUCCCACCAUGCCUCCCCAAUGGCACCCUGUCUGUUUCCAGACAGUCGGCAAGCAGGGCUGAGAACUUGCCACAGGCUACCCACCUCCUAGCUGUGAAAGAAAGUAGGACUUUAGUUCUUCCCCUGCCUAUUUAGUCUGCACAAUGGAUUUGAACUCUUCCCUCAGUUCUGGCCAGGAGGCUUCUUGAUGACUUCAAAUUGUUCCAAAAUUCAGCUGGUGAUUUCCUUCUCUCUGUGGCAUUUCCCUCUUGUCACCCUCCCAAAGGAUCUUUGUGAUGCCACACAGGAAUAGCCUGCUUGAGGACCCAGCGAGCUCACAGGGCCUUUUCUACUGCUCCCUCUAUUCCUGUAUUUUGCUCAGCUCUCUAAAUUAACUCAGCUCCAGGUAAGGUUGUAAUCUUUUCCCAUAAAAUAGACCUUCAGUUUUCCCAGGGGAGGUUGUGUUUGGGGGCAGAGGAUCUCCCUUUCCCACUUCUGCAAUUUGGGCCUUCACAGUAUUUGGGGUGUCUCCCAGGUUCUGCAGGAGCAGCCCACUUUCUUCAGAAAACCUGUGGGUCCUCUCGCAUUUCCUGAUUUUUUUCUGCAGUCUUUCUGGAGCUAAAAUUCAUGAUGCAAGCCUUCACAAGCUCCUCUGUCUUUCCAAGUCAGAACUGCAAUUUAGUCCUGCCUCCCAUCCACCAUGAUGGAGCUGAUUGUUUUUCACAUUUUAGUA